ACGCUCGACACCUACGGGAGCAGCAGUAGGGAAUCUUCCACAAUGGGCGCAAGCCUGAUGGAGCAACACCGCGUGAGUGAAGAAGGGUUUCGGCUCGUAAAGCUCUGUUGUUGGAGAAGAACGUGCGUGAGAGUAACUGUUCACGCAGUGACGGUAUCCAACCAGAAAGUCACGGCUAACUACGUGCCAGCAGCCGGCGGUAAUCUGAGCGGGCUGGCAAGGC
rnacentral:rRNA from 1 species